GGGGGGGGGGGGGGGGGGGGGGGGGGGGGGGGGGGGGGGGGGGGGGGGGGGGGGGUGGGGGGGUGCGGGGGUGGCGGGGGGGGGAGUGGCGCGUGGGGACCGUGCGCUUGAGUUUGGGAUAACUUCGGGCAGGUGGGGCUCAUGCCGGGUGGGAGCUGCUGCUGCAUGGGGGGGGUUGGGAAGUUUCGGCGGGUGGGGAUGGACUCUAGGCUUAUCAGCCUGGUGGUGGGGUGGUGGCUUACCAAGGCUUUGACGGGUAGCCGGACUGAGAGGGUUACCGGCCACAUUGGGACUGAGAUACGGCCCAGACUCCUACGGGAGGCAGCAGUGGGGAAUAUUGCACAAUGGGCGGAAGCCUGAUGCAGCAACGCCGCGUGCGGGAUGACGGCCUUCGGGUUGUAAACCGCUUUCGCCUGUGACGAAGCGUGAGUGACGGUAAUGGGUAAAGAAGCACCGGCUAACUACGUG
rnacentral:rRNA from 1 species